UUGCCUCGGCGGGAUCUCUGCCCCGGGUGCGUCGCAGCCCCGGACCAAGGCGCCCGCCGGAGGACCAACCAAAACUCUUAUUGUAUACCCCCUCGCGGGUUUUUUUUUAUAAUCUGAGCCUUCUCGGCGCCUCUCGUAGGCGUUUCGAAAAUGAAUCAAAACUUUCAACAACGGAUCUCUUGGUUCUGGCAUCGAUGAAGAACGCAGCGAAAUGCGAUAAGUAAUGUGAAUUGCAGAAUUCAGUGAAUCAUCGAAUCUUUGAACGCACAUUGCGCCCGCCAGUAUUCUGGCGGGCAUGCCUGUCCGAGCGUCAUUUCAACCCUCGAACCCCUCCGGGGGGUCGGCGUUGGGGAUCGGCCCUGCCUUGGCGGUGGCCGUCUCCGAAAUACAGUGGCGGUCUCGCCGCAGCCUCUCCUGCGCAGUAGUUUGCACACUCGCAUCGGGAGCGCGGCGCGUCCACAGCCGUUAAACACCCAACUUCUGAAAUGUUGACCUCGGAUCAGGUAGGAAUACCCGCUGAACUUAAGCAUAUCAAUAAGCGG
rnacentral:rRNA from 1 species